rnacentral:rRNA from 1 species
GUAGGAACGGCCAUUGAUACUGUUAGGCUUGAAUUAUUAGGAAGUAACUAGAAUAUGUAGUGUAGCGGUGAAAUGCUUAGAGAUUACAUGGAAUACCAAUUGCGAAGGCAGGUUACUACUAAUGGAUUGACGCUGAUGGACGAAAGCGUGGGUAGCGAACAGGAUUAGAUACCCUGGUAGUCCACGCCGUAAACGAUGGAUACUAGCUGUUGGGAGCAAUCUCAGUGGCUAAGCGAAAGUGAUAAGUAUCCCACCUGGGGAGUACGUUCGCAAGAAUGAAACUCAAAGGAAUUGACGGGGGCCCGCACAAGCGGUGGAGCAUGUGGUUUAAUUCGAUGAUACGCGAGGAACCUUACCAAGGCUUAAAUGUAGAUUGACCGUUUUGGAAACAGAACUUUCGCAAGACAAUUUACAAGGUGCUGCAUGGUUGUCGUCAGCUCGUGCCGUGAGGUGUCAGGUUAAGUCCUAUAACGAGCGCAACCCCUGUUGUUAGUUGCCAGCGAGUCAAGUCGGGAACUCUAACAAGACUGCCAGUGCAAACUGUGAGGAAGGUGGGGAUGACGUCAAAUCAUCACGGCCCUUACGCCUUGGGCUACACACGUGCUACAAUGGACGGUACAGAGAGCAGCCACUACGUGAGUAGGAGCGAAUCUACAAA